rnacentral:rRNA from 1 species
CCUACGGGAGGCAGCAGUGAGGAAUAUUGGUCAAUGGCCGGGAGGCUGAACCAGCCAAGUCGCGUGAAGGAAGACGGCCCUACGGGUUGUAAACCUCUUUUGUCAGGGAGCAAGGUGCAGGUCGGGACCUGCUGUGAGAGUACCUGAUGAAAAAGCAUCGGCUAACUCCGUGCCAGCAGCCGCGGUAAUACGGAGGAUGCGAUCGUUAUCCGGAUUUAUUGGGUUUAAAGGGUGCGCAGGCGGAGGCACAAGUCAGCGGUAAAAUCGCGGGGCUCAACCCCGCUCCGCCGUUGAAACUGUGUGCCUUGAGUGCGCGAAGGGUAGGCGGAAUGCGUGGUGUAGCGGUGAAAUGCAUAGAUAUCACGCAGAACUCCGAUCGCGAAGGCAGCCUACCGGCGCGCGACUGACGCUCAUGCACGAAAGCGUGGGUAUCGAACAGGAGUAGAUACCCGGGUAGUC